CUUAUAUAUAGGCGCAUCUUCGAAUUCGUUCAUCUGCACAAUCUAUCUUGUCCUGUUGAAAGACACUGUUCUCUACAACGUUACUGAUCUUAAGUCCAGCCAAAAUGAGAUCCAUUUUUGUUGUCUCACUGCUUGUGCUGAUUUUGAUGGAAGGAAGCAGACCUGUCAUGGGUGGAGGAAAGAAAAUAAAAAAAACUGCAAGCCAGGGUGAAAGCAUUGGAAGAGUGCCAAUCCUGCUCCUUGAUUGAAGAUCUCUUGAAUAGAGUUGAAGCAUUGGAAAAUAGAACUCCACCACCUCCUCCGACAACAGCUCCAGCACCCCCUACAACGAUGCCCGCAG